rnacentral:rRNA from 1 species
AGAGUUUGAUCCUGGCUCAGAUUGAACGCUGGCGGCAUGCCUUACACAUGCAAGUCGAACGGUAGAGGGGCAACCCUUGAGAGUGGCGAACGGGUGAGUAAUAUAUCGGAACGUGCCCAGUCGUGGGGGAUAACGCAGCGAAAGCCGCGCUAAUACCGCAUACGAUCUAUGGAUGAAAGCGGGGGAUCGCAAGACCUCGCGCGAUUGGAGCGGCCGAUAUCAGAUUAGGUAGUUGGUGGGGUAAAAGCCCACCAAGCCGACGAUCUGUAGCUGGUCUGAGAGGACGACCAGCCACACUGGGACUGAGACACGGCCCAGACUCCUACGGGAGGCAGCAGUGGGGAAUUUUGGACAAUGGGCGCAAGCCUGAUCCAGCAAUGCCGCGUGCAGGACGAAGGCCUUCGGGUUGUAAACUGCUUUUGUACGGAGCGAAACGGUCUGGGUUAAUACCCUGGGCUAAUGACGGUACCGUAAGAAUAAGCACCGGCUAAGNACGUGCCAGCAGCCGCGGUAAUAC